rnacentral:rRNA from 1 species
UGAGGAAUAUUGGUCAAUGGGCGUAAGCCUGAACCAGCCAAGUCGCGUGAGGGAUGAAGGUUCUAUGGAUCGUAAACCUCUUUUAUAAGGGAAUAAAGUGCGGGACGUGUCCCGUUUUGUAUGUACCUUAUGAAUAAGGAUCGGCUAACUCCGUGCCAGCAGCCGCGGUAAUACGGAGGAUCCGAGCGUUAUCCGGAUUUAUUGGGUUUAAAGGGUGCGUAGGCGGCCUUUUAAGUCAGCGGUGAAAGUCUGUGGCUCAACCAUAGAAUUGCCGUUGAAACUGGGGGGCUUGAGUAUGUUUGAGGCAGGCGGAAUGCGUGGUGUAGCGGUGAAAUGCAUAGAUAUCACGCAGAACCCCGAUUGCGAAGGCAGCCUGCCAAGCCAUGACUGACGCUGAUGCACGAAAGCGUGGGGAUCAAACA